GGUUAUCCCCAGCAUUGAAUUUACCAGUACCCAUUAUACACCUGGGUGGAGAGAGGUACUGUGAAUAAACUAUCUUGCUCAGUAACUCAAUGCGGUGACCCUGGCCAAUGCUCAAAGCCAGACUGCUUAAUCCAGAGUCCAGUGUGUUAACCAUUAGGGGACCUUAGAACUAGCAACUGAAUUGACUGUGUGAAGUAUUGUCAGUCAACAAAGAGGCUAGAGAACACAUAUCUUCUAGACUGCAAGCAAAAUAGCAGGGAUCGACUGAUUGACGGACCGACCAACCAACCGACUAACCGACCAACUGACCGACCGAUUGACUGAUUGAAUGAAUGGCUUUCAGAGAAUUUAAGCUUUCUUGUCUGAUGUUAUAAUAAACAACUAACAGUACCUAUACCUUUCAAAGGUCAUUAACCCCACAUACCCACUUAAAGUUCAGUUUAAAUUUAUUCUUUUCGUUACUUAUCUUCAUAAAUUUUGGCUUUCUUUGUCAGCUCUUUAUUCACAAUGUUCUUAAUGAAUCCCACCAAAUGUUCUGUGCUUUAAUAUUUUCAGUGUUUGGUGCUGUUGGUGAUAUUACUGUCCUCUACAGCAAGCACAGCCCACUGAACUUCAGUCCAUCACUUAUUGGCUACUUUUUUGCUGAGUUUCUAUUUCUCAAAGGUGUUGGAGUGGUUUUAGGAAUACCACUAUUAACAAAAGUUCUCAAGUGGUCUGAUUUUUCCAUCGCUAUUUUUGGUGCUUUCAUAGCUACUGGCUUUUAUCCUUUUAUUGGAUUUUCAUCAAACAGAUGGAUGAUGUUUGUUGGUGGACUGAUUGCUGUAGGUGCUGGAAUCCCGCCACCUUGCCUGAGAUCAAUCAUUUCAAAACAAGUGGAAUCCUCUGAGCUAGGUAAGUCAGCCACUUGAUAUUUAUGAUUUGUGUUAUGCUAUAAAAUUUUACUUAAAAGUAAUAAAAUUAUUAUGGGACUAGCAUUCCAUCCAGGGGGAGUAGAAAUACACCUAGUUACUCAAUGCUAUGGGAACCAGUGUAAGUUUGGGCAGUAUGAACCACUUGGCCCAACACAGACUUUACUUUUAACCUCUACAUUGUAACUCAGAGAAUACCAAAUCACAUUCAUUCCCCUCUUCCUUUAAAGGAGCCACUGUUAUCAUCAUCAGUCGUUAUUACACCCUGGGACUUUGUCGGAGCAAAGUGACUUUGCUCUGACAAUUAGAAACUUAACUUUGCACAUCUGUUAUAAAGCAGUUUUUGGCAAUCGAGUGUCACAAGUGAUUAGGCAAUUACUUUGGUUUUAGUUUGAGAUUGGCUGAGAAGUCCAAUUGGUAAAUAAUUGGUUUGGCUUUGUUGUUAUGGUACUCAAUUGAAAACUGCUCUGAGGGUUCAGUUUCCCUGACAGUACUUCAGAGGGACAGCUUCUUGUGGGGCAGAGUUUAUUACCAACCAUACUUUUGGUUGCUAGUUUUUUCAUGGUCGACUUACAGAACCCUUUCCCCUGAUUGAUAAGAGCCACUUCUUUACCAACUAUCUUGUCAGAAUCCUCUAUCAUAAAUUGUUCCUUAACCUUCCAUGUGCAAGCUAGUGGCAAGUGGGAACCACAUAAUGAGCUGGAGCAGAAAAACUGAUGCCCCACUCAGGCUAACUCAAAUCCUUGAUCAAUGACUCUUUUACAAAGGAGGCAUGUAAAGUUUUGUUGACUUUUUGUAGGACAGUUAUUCUACACUGUAUGUUUUUGUAAGAUUGUGAUGGAAUCGUGCCCUGUCAGCCAGACUGAGCUAUGAGGACAAGCACUUCUUCCUUUGUGAACUGGAAAGCAGAAGUUUGCACAUCGAGCUUUUGUAAUAAAUGUUCAUUGGCAGUUUGGAAAAUGGAGAUGAUUUCUCUACACUCUCUUCCCUCCCAGUUCAGCUUAUGGUACAACAUUUGCUCUUGUUGCAUCCUUGGAAGUGCUGGACACACUUUUAGCUUCCAUCAUCUUUAACAAUAUCUACAGUGCCACGGUGGAAUGGCUUCCAGGAUUUUGUUACUUUUUAAUGUCAGGGCUAAAUGUUAUUGCUAUCUUCUUGCUUACGUGAGUAAAUAUGUCUGAUAUUCAACAUGUGUAUUGUUGUGUGGUGUACCCAGAUUGCCCCAACCCAAUCACAAGCUAGCGUGAGUAUGAGUAAACAAAUGCUUUUUGAAGCUCCACAGAUGUCUUCACAGACAUCCCUAGGUAUUAAUAGGGACUCUCCUUGUAAGCCCAACAGGGUUUGUUGGGAACUCGUACUCUAUGAAAUAUAUAUGAUUUGUAAUUACAUCGCUGUAAAUUGAUGAAUUUAUGGGGCAAAUAAAGAUCAAUCAAUCACAGUCAUUCCUAGGUAUUAUCACAGACAUCCCUAGGUAUUGACACAGACAUUCCUGCGUAUUAACACAGACAUCCCUAGGUAUUAUCAUAGACAUCUCUAGGUAUUAUCAUAGACAUCCCUAGGUAUUAUCACAGACAUCCCUAGGUAUUAUCACAGACAUCCCUAGGUAUUAUCACAGACAUCCCUAGGUAUUAUCAUAGACAUCCCUAGGUAUUAACUCAGACAUCCCUAUGUAUUAACACAGACAGCGCUAGGUAUGUGGAAAUAUUGAGACCAUGAAGAGACACAUUUGUUUACCCAGGACAGCUAGAGACAGACACUCUUGUUACAAUCACUAAAGUGCAUAUCUUACAGGUCUUAUAGGUAUUAUGACCUUAGUGACCUUUCCCCCCAAUGUUUGUUUGAUUUGUUGUUGUUGUUGUUGUUGUUGGGUUUUUUUUUUCCUGUAGAUGGUUGUAUAUGUUAGAGCAACGCAGCAAUCCUUACGUGACAAUGGACACAAGUGUUCAAUAACCAGAUCUGGAAAGUUCUGCAAAUAGCAACAAGGAACUUGCCAAGGCAGCAUCAGGGUCAUGAUGCAGAAACUAAGCCACAACAGCAUUAGAUUGUUUCACUGAUGCAACAUUAAUUCAAUAAUCAACAGGGCUGUAUUCAGAAAAAAUAUUAUGACUGAGGCCAUUACCACAGUUAAAUUCUCUUUUUUAUUUGCUAGCAGUAUGUUACUGUCCCUCUUCAAAAAACAAACAAAAUCAACAACAAAAACAAAAAAAAAGGCCUGAUGCAAGAGCCUCAGUUCACCUCAUACUGCUACGGCACUGAUCAGAAUAUUUAUGACCUGUUAGUAAAAGUACUAUGUACAGAUUGACUAGCCAUGUUAUGAUGUUCUUUACUGACUCCUCUAGCAGUCCAGACUCAUAAAAAAUAUAAGAAAUGAGGGUAAUUAUGAUUUAUGGAGUGGAAUGUGCCUCUCUGAAGUAAGCAGUGUUCUGUGAGUCACAUUCUUCUCAUUAAUUAUGCUAAGUUAUAGACAAGGUAACAAAUGAUAAAUUUCGUCAAUUUUUUGUGCUGCCUGUGCAGCUGAAGACUAGAUCAACACAAUACCUAUUUAACCCA